CAUUUUUUCUAAUGUUCAUAUUUUUUCCCCAAAUUAAAACUUCAUAUUUAACUCAAAAAAUAUGAGUGAAGUACCAAAGCAAACAUCUUAUCCCUACCCUGCUCCAGGUUAUUACGAGGGACCUCCAGUGAUGGCACCCCCUAUAUAUACCUAUACUGCUGCUCCCCCUAGAAGACAAUCAGGUUCACUCGAGGCUUGCUUGGCAACUUUAUGUUGUUGUUGCCUCCUUGACUCUUGCUGUUGGGAUCCUUUCCUCUGUAUUUAGCUUGUCCUAAGUCUGAGUGUUGUUCCAAGUGAUGAAUAAAAGUGUAACGGAUUUCAUACGUUAUAUAUUAUGUAUACAUGAAGCAUCUCGUGUUUUCGUUACCCUUUGAGAAUCUCCCCUGUUUAGAGGUGUAAUGCAGAUAAUUCAUCAUCUCGUGUUUUCGUUACCCUUUGAGAAUCUCCCCUGUUUAGAGGUGUAAUGCAGAUAAUUCAUCGCAAUA